rnacentral:rRNA from 1 species
AUUGAACGCUGGCGGCAGGCUUAACACAUGCAAGUCGAGCGGAGCGAGGGUGCUUGCACCUUAGCUUAGCGGCGGACGGGUGAGUAAUGCUUAGGAAUCUGCCUAUUAGUGGGGGACAACAUUCCGAAAGGAAUGCUAAUACCGCAUACGCCCUACGGGGGAAAGCAGGGGAUCUUCGGACCUUGCGCUAAUAGAUGAGCCUAAGUCGGAUUAGCUAGUUGGUGGGGUAAAGGCCUACCAAGGCGACGAUCUGUAGCGGGUCUGAGAGGAUGAUCCGCCACACUGGGACUGAGACACGGCCCAGACUCCGACGGGAGGCAGCAGUGGGGAAUAUUGGACAAUGGGCGAAAGCCUGAUCCAGCCAUGCCGCGUGUGUGAAGAAGGCCUUUUGGUUGUAAAGCACUUUAAGCGAGGAGGAGGCUACUUAGAUUAAUACUCUAGGAUAGUGGACGUUACUCGCAGAAUAAGCACCGGCUAACUCUGUGCCAGCCGCCGCAGUAAAAC